UUAGUUGAGUUGAAUUGAGUUGAGAUAUCCUGGUGAUGUGCAUUUUGUUUGUCAUCUUGACAUUACUGAUCCAUUAGUGCAGCAAACUUUUGAGUUAGGUGAUGAAAAAAAGCUGAAUGUAGCUAUUAGCUACAAUGUAGAGAAAGAAAGCCAGAUGAAUUCACAAAGAAAGCUUGACAUUGGUGAAGAGUGGCAGAUUUUAAAGUUCAUUGAUGCUGGAUAAAAGGAGGCUUGAAGUUGAGCAUGAGACUCUAAACAAAUGCUUGCUUGGGAGGCAGCCCAAAAAUCAAAUAAAUUUGGAUUUUUGUUGCCCUACUUUUUAUUUUCUUAUUUUUAAUGUCUCUUCUUGGCAUGAUAACUUAUAUUGGGGAUAAUGUAAGAUUUAAGUGUGGAAGAGUGUUUUUUUGUGUUUAAUGUGUUUAGUUCUUUUAUUCAUUUUUUUUUUUUUUUGAAAACUAUGGGUUUUGUAUUUUUAGGUUCUUUCCAUAAAUUGAUGAGAUUAUGCACAUAAUGAGUAUGGAUUGAUCAAGUUUAAUGAGAACAUGAAUAGUUAGGCUUUCUUUAUCUGUUAAUUUAAUUGAAAGGUUGAAUAUGCUAAUAUGGAAAAUCAAACCUUUUAUGAGCUUUUAAACAUAUGAUUGAAACUUUUAUAUCAAUCUAUUUCUUUAUUGUGUAGAUAUUCAUUCCUUGAUAUUGUAACUCUAGAACUUGCUUUAAAUCUUUUUGAGAUUACAUGGAUAUAUGCAUGCAUUUAAGUGAUAAAAGCAAACUAGGUGUAACCAUUUUAGCUUAAAUUGUCAACCUUUAGACAACUAAAAGUUGUCCCCUUAGACAACUAAAAGUUGUCCCCUUAGUGAGCUAAUUUUGAGUCUACAUUAUUCAUGUUCUUUGUAAUUGAGCCACAUUACAAAGCCUUAACCAGUAAAACAAGUGUUUCUACCUAACCAUAGGAUUAGUAGAGCAUUUGAAACUUUUUGAAUAGAUUUUGGUUGGAAUGUUUAUAAGAGUAAUGAUGAAUUGGGGAUACUAGUUUGAAAGUAUACAGUUGAUGUUCUUGUGACUUAUAAAGUAAAGUGAAAAGUUUGGAAUGAAAAGCAAAAAAUUCA
rnacentral:misc_RNA from 1 species